rnacentral:rRNA from 1 species
CACGCCGUAAACGAUGAGAACUAGCCGUUGGGGUCCUUGAGUCCUUAGUGGCGCAGCUAACGCAAUAAGUUCUCCGCCUGGGGAGUACGGCCGCAAGGUUAAAACUCAAAUGAAUUGACGGGGGCCCGCACAAGCGGUGGAGCAUGUGGUUUAAUUCGACGCAACGCGAAGAACCUUACCUGGCCUUGACAUCCAGCGAACCCUGCAGAGAUGCGGGGGUGCCUUCGGGAACGCUGAGACAGGUGC